GCACGGCGCAGCCUCCCGGCCAGCCCCAGAGUCAGGCCCUGGGCAUGCAGCCGCUUCCUCCACAGCAGCCCAUGUUCCCUCGACAGGGGCAGGGCAUGCAGCAGACGCAACAGCAACAACAGACCGCCGCUUUGGUCAGACAACUCCAACAGCAGCUGUCAAGCACACAGCCAGGACAGAACACCAACUCGUAUUACCCCAAGUACGAGUGAGUCCUGCGUGGCCCUCCUGACACGGACCGGACGAUUCCGGAGUCGUCUUGAGCCGGGAGGCCCUCGGACACGAGAGACUGAUCCCCAGCCGAUCCGAUAUCUGACCACAGUGCUGUUUCUAGGAAUAAAACCUCUUUCAGAUUUUGUGUAAUUCCACGACGGUCCGAGGUAUGAGGCUGUGAACUGGUGAUCAUGAAGCGCAAGGAAGGACUUUAUGUAAAAAAAAAAAAAAAACACACACACACAACACAAAAAAAAAAAAAAAACACGAAAUGAUGAGAGUAAUGCAGUGUUUUUUAUUUUAUUUUACUUUGUACAAUUUUUCAGUUUCGUGUAUUCUCAUUAAAAAAAAAAACAAGUCGUG
ensembl:lncRNA